rnacentral:lncRNA from 1 species
GCCACCAUUUCUUUUUUAGCUCUUUUCUCCUCUUUCGUCUCGUUCUUUUCUUCAGUUUCUCAACCUCCGACCACCUCGUCCUUUUUGCAGAGAUCGACGACGUCAUGCGGUCGGACAAGGCAACGGCUGUUGGUAGGACGUCCCUACUGGAAGCAGUCCGGAGGAAGAAACGAGCUCCUCCGAGCGGGGCCCCACCGGCGAAGAAGUCCC